rnacentral:tRNA from 1 species
GCGGGUAUGGUUCAAUGGUAGAACAGGGGCUUUCCAAGCCUCUGAUGCGGGUUCGAUUCCCGCUACCCGCU